rnacentral:rRNA from 1 species
GAUGCUUUAGUGCCUUCGGGAACUCUGAGACAGGUGCUGCAUGGCUGUCGUCAGCUCGUGUGUGAAAUGUUGGGUUAACGUCCGCAACGAGCGCAACCCUUAUCCUUUGUUGCCAGCACGUAAUGGUGGGAACUCAAAGGAGACUGCCGGUGAUAAACCGGAGGAAGGUGGGGAUGACGUCAAGUCAUCAUGGCCCUUACGAGUAGGGCUACACACGUGCUACAAUGGCGUAUACAAAGAGAAGCGACCUCGCGAGAGCAAGCGGACCUCAUAAAGUGCGUCGUAGUCCGGAUUGGAGUCUGCAACUCGACUCCAUGAAGUCGGAAUCGCUAGUAAUCGUAAAUCAGAAUGUUACGGUGAAUACGUUCCCGGGCCUUGUACACACCGCCCGUCACACCAUGGGAGUGGGUUGCAAAAGAAGUAGAUAGCUUAACCUUCGGGAGGGCGUUUACCACUUUGUGAUUCAUGACUGGGGUGAAGUCGUAACAAGGUAGGCGUAGUGCU